rnacentral:lncRNA from 1 species
GAAUGCUGAAUUAAAUUUUUAGUUAGAUUUAUGGCACUUGUAUUGUCACAUUUUAUUGGAAUCUUACUAUGAGUCAUACCAUAGUCUUCUAGUUAUUGUUUGAUCUAUACAAAUUAUGCACAACAACUUCCAACCACAUUGUAUUCAGCUUUAGCUGUAGAUAAUGCCACUGAAUUUAAUUUUUUUGCUGAACUAUGAGAUCAAAGUAACA